GCGGGCGGCGGAGCGGCGGGAUGCGGCAGUGCCGGGCCGCGGGGCUGGCGGGGCUGGCUGCGGUGCUGCUGGUGGCUGUGAGCAGAGCCCAGGUGCAGCAGGAGCCUUCGGUAGAGACCAGCGAGGGCAUCGGCAUCAACAUCACCUGCUCACAUCCCAACACACAGUUCAGCGAAGUCAUUCAGUGGUACCGUCAGCUCCCGGGCCGAGGCCCCGCAUUCCUCGUCAGCGCCGUUAAAGGCUCCAAGGAGGUGCCGGACCCGGAGGGGCAGCUGUGGGUGUCGGCAGACCGCCGCUCCAGCGUCCUGCGGCUCUCCCGGCCCCGGCUCGGGGACGCGGCGCUGUAUUACUGCGCCUUGGGCGCACGGGAAGCGAAGCCGGGGCUGCGGCCGGGCACGAACCGCUUGGGGCGGGCCGGGGGCGCAGUGCCGUCCGGGCCCGCAGGGGGCGCUGCCGCUCCCCCCUCCCGGCCCCGCCGAGCUGGCAGUGCUGACAUGGAACGCGUCCCUCGCACCGCUCGGCAUCCUCCGGAGAAAGGCGUUCCAGCUGCA